rnacentral:rRNA from 1 species
UUUGUCUUAUAGUAAUAUUUUGAAAUUAAUUUUUUAGUUAAAAAGCUAAAAUUAACUUUAAAGACAAGAAGACCCUAUUAAGCUUUACAAUUUUAUAUUAUUUUCAAAUUAAUAAAUCAAUUGUUCUGCUGGGGCAGCAAAUAAAUAAAUAUUAUUUAUAUAUUGUGAUAAAUAAAUCUAGAAAAAUCAAUAAUUUAUUAAAUAACAACAAGUUACUAUAGGGAUAACAGCAUAAUUUUUUUAAAGAGUUCUCAUCAACAAAAAAGUUUGUGACCUCGAUGUUGGAUU